CUGGGCUCAAGUGAUCCUCCCACCUCAACCUCCCAAACUGCUGGGAUUACAGGUUUGAGCCACUGCACCCGGCCUAUUCUCACUUUCUAUAUGGCUUCAGGCAUCUUGGAGGGAGGUCAUCACCUCAGAGGUGGAGAAAUGUCAAGCUAGUUGAACAACAGGCACCAAAGAUUUUGAGGAGUGCAGAGCGAAGAGCCUUGGGCUGAGAGCUUGAGUCCUGACUGUUUCAGUGAGACCAGUGAGUACCUUCUCUCUCCAGCUUCUCCAUUUCCACUUCUGCAAACUCUGGACUCCAAGGACCCAAGAUGGCUGGAAACAAGAUGGCGGAGAUGGAGUACCCCUCUAUCGCCCAGGCUAGAGUGCAACCUGAUUCUACAACUUGGCCACAUGAUCCUGAGCAAGUUACAUACCCCUGUUUGAGUUUCAGUUUCCCCUCUGCAACAAAAAAAAAAGGGUUGGAUUAAGUAAUGAUUAAAACCCCUUCCUAGAUUUCUACUGUCAUUUUUUAUU